rnacentral:rRNA from 1 species
UACGAGGGGGGCAAGCGUUGUUCGGAAUUAUUGGGCGUAAAGGGUGCGUAGGCGGUCUGAUAAGUCAUCUGUGAAAUCUAUGGGCUCAACCCAUAGUCUGCAGGCGAAACUGUCGGGCUUGAGUAUGGGAGAGGUGAGUGGAAUUUCCGGUGUAGCGGUGAAAUGCGUAGAUAUCGGAAGGAACACCUGUGGCGAAAGCGGCUCACUGGACCAUUACUGACGCUGAGGCACGAAAGCUAGGGGAGCGAAUGGG